CGGCCCAGACUCCUACGGGAGGCAGCAGUGGGGAAUAUUGGACAAUGGGGGGAACCCUGAUCCAGCCAUGCCGCGUGUGUGAAGAAGGCCUUUUGGUUGUAAAGCACUUUAAGCGAGGAGGAGGCUAUUCUUAUUAAUACUUAUGGAUAGUGGACGUUACUCGCAGAAUAAGCACCGGCUAACUCUGUGCCAGCAGCCGCGGUAAUACAGAGGGUGCGAGCGUUAAUCGGAUUUACUGGGCGUAAAGCGUGCGUAGGCGGCUGAUUAAGUCGGAUGUGAAAUCCCUGAGCUUAACUUAGGAAUUGCAUUCGAUACUGGUCAGCUAGAGUAUGGGAGAGGAUGGUAGAAUUCCAGGUGUAGCGGUGAAAUGCGUAGAGAUCUGGAGGAAUACCGAUGGCGAAGGCAGCCAUCUGGCCUAAUACUGACGCUGAGGUACGAAAGCAUGGGGAGCAAACAGGAUUAGAUACCCUGGUAGUCCAUGCCGUAAACGAUGUCUACUAGCCGUUGGGGCCUUUGAGGCUUUAGUGGCGCAGCUAACGCGAUAAGUAGACCGCCUGGGGAGUACGGUCGCAAGACUAAAACUCAAAUGAAUUGACGGGGGCCCGCACAAGCGGUGGAGCAUGUGGUUUAAUUCGAUGCAACGCGAAGAACCUUACCUGGUCUUGACAUAGUAAGAACUUUCCAGAGAUGGAUUGGUGCCUUCGGGAACUUACAUACAGGUGCUGCAUGGCUGUCGUCAGCUCGUGUCGUGAGAUGUUGGGUUAAGUCCCGCAACGAGCGCAACCCUUUUCCUUAUUUGCCAGCGGGUUAAGCCGGGAACUUUAAGGAUACUGCCAGUGACAAACUGGAGGAAGGCGGGGACGACGUCAAGUCAUCAUGGCCCUUACGACCAGGGCUACACACGUGCUACAAUGGUCGGUACAAAGGGUUGCUACCUAGCGAUAGGAUGCUAAUCUCAAAAAGCCGAUCGUAGUCCGGAUUGGAGUCUGCAACUCGACUCCAUGAAGUCGGAAUCGCUAGUAAUCGCGGAUCAGAAUGCCGCGGUGAAUACGUUCCCGGGCCUUGUACACACCGCCCGUCACACCAUGGGAGUUUGUUGCACCAGAAGUAGGUAGUCUAA
rnacentral:rRNA from 1 species